GACGAACGCUGGCGGCGUGCUUAACACAUGCAAGUCGAACGGAAAGGCCCUGCUUGCAGGGUACUCGAGUGGCGAACGGGUGAGUAACACGUGGGUGAUCUGCCCUGCACUUCGGGAUAAGCCUGGGAAGCUGGGUCUAAUACCGGAUAGGAGCCAUUUUUAGUGUGAUGGUUGGAAAGUUUUUUCGGUGUAGGAUGAGCUCGCGGCCUAUCAGCUUGUUGGUGGGGUAAUGGCCUACCAAGGCGGCGACGGGUAGCCGGCCUGAGAGGGUGGACGGCCACAUUGGGACUGAGAUACGGCCCAGACUCCUACGGGAGGCAGCAGUGGGGAAUAUUGCACAAUGGGCGCAAGCCUGACGAAGCGACGCCGCGUGGGGGAUGACGGCCUUCGGGUUGUAAACUCCUUUCGCUAGGGACGAAGCUUUUUGUGACGGUACCUAGAUAAGAAGCACCGGCUAACUACGUG
rnacentral:rRNA from 1 species